CCUACGGGAGGCAGCAGUGGGGAAUAUUGCACAAUGGGCGCAAGCCUGAUGCAGCCAUGCCGCGUGUGUGAAGAAGGCCUUCGGGUUGUAAAGCACUUUCAGCGGGGAGGAAGGCGUUAAGGUUAAUAACCUUGUCGAUUGACGUUACCCGCAGAAGAAGCACCGGCUAACUCCGUGCCAGCAGCCGCGGUAAUACGGAGGGUGCAAGCGUUAAUCGGAAUUACUGGGCGUAAAGCGCACGCAGGCGGUCUGUCAAGUCGGAUGUGAAAUCCCCGGGCUCAACCUGGGAACUGCAUUCGAAACUGGCAGGCUAGAGUCUUGCAGAGGGGGGUAGAAUUCCAUGUGUAGCGGUGAAAUGCGUAGAGAUCUGGAGGAACACCGGUGGCGAAGGCGACCCCCUGGACAAAGACUGACGCUCAGGUGCGAAAGCGUGGGGAGCAAACAGGAUUAGAUACCCCUGUAGUC
rnacentral:rRNA from 1 species